CCAGCCUUGUCAACACAGAGCACUGUCGUCUCCCCACUAGCUGCAGUUGUCACUCCUCUGCCAGGAACGUCGUCUGGUGUACUGCGUGCAGUCGCGUCACCUCAGCACUUAAAAGGUGGAAGUGGCUGGCAUCCCCCCAAAGAUUGCCCAUCGUCCAGUAGUCUGGCAGCUCCAGCACAGCCAACAAAAGGCAAGCUGGAUAACCUCCGCAAGAAAGUGCACCAGUUGCAAGCCCGCAACAAGAAGCUUCAGCACAAAAUAGCAGAAGCAGAAAACAUUGUCAAUGCUUACAAUGCUUUGACAUUCCUUUAAUACAAAAAUGCUGUUGUAAUCAAAGUAGUAGUCAUGAACAGUGUGUAUGCUCUGAACAAGGUUGUCAUUGCUGGAAGCUGAUAUUAUUUUGGCUGUUUUGCAAGAUAAAGUAUCACAGACUUCUAAACUGAGCUAAUUGACUUGUGCCUUCUAAUUCCUCCAUAGCAUUCAUUACGAAUGCCAAAAACUGGGAGACAUAGCGCCACACAGCAUGCAAGUAUCAUAUAAUGUGGCCCAAAAGUGCAAAUAUGUUCACUUCCACCUUCUUGGUACGAGAGAUAUGUGGAAAGCUCCAGAUGUGCAUGGGGACAGCAAUAGUCGUGGGCCCUAUCUGUGUUUGCUGGAAUUUGUACAUUAUCCUUUUGUGCUUAUUCACUACAUAGACUGUCAUACUGGUUAUUGCACAUUAUUCUGUCGUGGGUGUUUAUACUGGAGUUGUACGGACUACAUAAUACUGUUUAUACUGCAUUAUACUGUUUACAAUGCCAUGGCGAAUUUACCUGUGAUAAAAGAAAGCAAGCCCC